UUCAUGUAUUCGGUGAAUGUUAAUGCUGGGUAACAGGUGCAGACAGUCAGUGGCUAAUGGGACUUAGCUAGCUCAGUAAUGUCGAGGCCAAAAGUUCUUCACAAGGUUAACGUGACAAAGAGAGGUUGAGGGUUACAAUAGGUUGAAAUGAUUCACACUAUCUCUGUAAUGUUGGUUAAAUGAAUUAGGUUGUGCAAAUAAAUUGACGGUGAGGUGCUAAAGGCUGGAAAAUAAAUAUUAUGCAGUUAGCUAGAUUUUCCUGUUAUUCAGAUGUAAGUGAGUGGGACUCUUUUCUUCCCAGAUGGCAGGGAGUUUUGUAGGAAGAUGCAUCAACUCCAAUUCUUACAUCUGACAAAUGUUUUAAUGAUUUUAAUAAAUCUCACCUGAGUUUCA